rnacentral:rRNA from 1 species
GACAUGUCACGCUAUCCAGAGAGAUUUGGAGUUCCCUUCGGGACGUGAACACAGGUGCUGCAUGGCUGUCGUCAGCUCAUGUCGUGAGAUGUUGGGUUAAGUCCCGCAACGAGCGCAACCCUCGCUGUUAGUUGCCAUCAUUUAGUUGGGCACUCUAGCAGGACUGCCGGUGCUAAGCCGGAGGAAGGUGGGGAUGACGUCAAGUCCUCAUGGCCCUUACGGGGUGGGCUACACACGUGCUACAAUGGCGACUACAGAGGGCCAAUCCCUAAAAGUCGUCUCAGUUCGGAUUGUUCUCUGCAACUCGAGAACAUGAAGUUGGAAUCGCUAGUAAUCGCGGAUCAGCAUGCCGCGGUGAAUACGUUCCCGGGCCUUGUACACACCGCCCGUCACACCAUGGGAGUUGGGUUUACCCGAAGGCAGUGCGCUAACCGCAAGGAGGCAGCUGACCACGGUAGGCUCAGCGACUGGGGUGAAGUCGUAACAAGGUAAGCGUAGUGCU